UUAGAAUUCUAAAAUUUGGCUUUAAAUAAACCAUUAAAUGAAUUUAAAAAAAAUAUAAACUAAAAAUAUCACAGUCAACUACCCCAGGCUACAUAACCUCUUUUGUGCAAUGUUUUUUGUUAAUUAAGUGUGAAACAAAACAAAACGUUCUCGAAAUGACGUAAAUUUAAUUCUGUGUAGUGAACCAAAUAAUUUAUCUUCUGUAUCCGGCCCGUGACUCAACGUAGUCAAGCAUUAACACAGGGCCGAAUACGGUGAAGAUGACGAACCGCGAGGUGCAACACAAUCGAGGACUUUUGACACCCUUCCAUGGGCAGUCUGAACUCGUUGUCGGCUACACCUCUAAACGCGGUAUUGGUUCACUUCACAAAACAAACUUUACCAUUCUUGAUUAAAAUCAAAUCGGAAAUGUUCAAUUGGAUAGUUCAAAAAAAUACGUAUAUUAAAUUUUUGGAAUUUCUAUAAGGUAAAUCUCCAACAACGAUAUUAUACGGAUGGGGUGGAGAAAUAUGAUAAAUAAAACCGUACCUUAAAAAUCCAAGCAAAACCACCACAGGAUAACCGAUACACGACCAAAAACAAACAACACCAGCCGUUGAUGAAAUGUCCAGAGUACAUUAUUGACUGCAAGAUUUCCAGUUUCUCCACGAUAGUAUAAUUAUCGAUGUAAUAUUAAAACGUGCUCGCGUUGCGGGCACGAACGUGUAUGUUAUUAAUUUUUAAU